rnacentral:rRNA from 1 species
UACGAGGGGGGCGAGCGUUGUUCGGAAUUAUUGGGCGUAAAGGGUGCGUAGGCGGUUUGGUAAGUCUUAUGUGAAAUCUAUGGGCUCAACUCAUAGUCUGCAUGAGAAACUGCCGGGCUUGAGUAUGGGAGAGGUGAGUGGAAUUCCUGGUGUAGCGGUGAAAUGCGCAGAUAUCGGGAAGAACACCCGUGGCGAAGGCGGCACUCUGGGACGGUACUGACGCUGAGACGCGAAAGCGUGGGGAGCGAACAGG